UGCAGUCGAGCGAACAGAAGGGAGCUUGCUCCCGGAUGUUAGCGGCGGACGGGUGAGUAACACGUGGGUAACCUGCCUGUAAGACUGGGAUAACUCCGGGAAACCGGAGCUAAUACCGGAUAGUUCCUUGAACCGCAUGGUUCAAGGAUGAAAGACGGUUUCGGCUGUCACUUACAGAUGGACCCGCGGCGCAUUAGCUAGUUGGUGGGGUAAUGGCUCACCAAGGCGACGAUGCGUAGCCGACCUGAGAGGGUGAUCGGCCACACUGGGACUGAGACACGGCCCAGACUCCUACGGGAGGCAGCAGUAGGGAAUCUUCCGCAAUGGACGAAAGUCUGACGGAGCAACGCCGCGUGAGUGAUGAAGGUUUUCGGAUCGUAAAGCUCUGUUGUUAGGGAAGAACAAGUGCGAGAGUAACUGCUCGCACCUUGACGGUACCUAACCAGAAAGCCACGGCUAACUACGUGCCAGCAGCCGCGGUAAUACGUAGGUGGCAAGCGUUGUCCGGAAUUAUUGGGCGUAAGGGCUCGCAGGCGGUUUCUUAAGUCUGAUGUGAAAGCCCCCGGCUCAACCGGGGAGGGUCAUUGGAAACUGGGAAACUUGAGUGCAGAAGAGGAGAGUGGAAUUCCACGUGUAGCGGUGAAAUGCGUAGAGAUGUGGAGGAACACCAGUGGCGAAGGCGACUCUCUGGUCUGUAACUGACGCUGAGGAGCGAAAGCGUGGGGAGCGAACAGGAUUAGAUACCCUGGUAGUCCACGCCGUAAACGAUGAGUGCUAAGUGUUAGGGGGUUUCCGCCCCUUAGUGCUGCAGCUAACGCAUUAAGCACUCCGCCUGGGGAGUACGGUCGCAAGACUGAAACUCAAAGGAAUUGACGGGGGCCCGCACAAGCGGUGGAGCAUGUGGUUUAAUUCGAAGCAACGCGAAGAACCUUACCAGGUCUUGACAUCCUCUGACAACCCUAGAGAUAGGGCUUUCCCUUCGGGGACAGAGUGACAGGUGGUGCAUGGUUGUCGUCAGCUCGUGUCGUGAGAUGUUGGGUUAAGUCCCGCAACGAGCGCAACCCUUGAUCUUAGUUGCCAGCAUUUAGUUGGGCACUCUAAGGUGACUGCCGGUGACAAACCGGAGGAAGGUGGGGAUGACGUCAAAUCAUCAUGCCCCUUAUGACCUGGGCUACACACGUGCUACAAUGGACAGAACAAAGGGCUGCGAGACCGCAAGGUUUAGCCAAUCCCAUAAAUCUGUUCUCAGUUCGGAUCGCAGUCUGCAACUCGACUGCGUGAAGCUGGAAUCGCUAGUAAUCGCGGAUCAGCAUGCCGCGGUGAAUACGUUC
rnacentral:rRNA from 2 species